CGCCUAUUAGCUAGCCCAACCCACACAGUUUAACUAACCCCCAUAAUUGAAUCAGAAAGACACUAAUUCAUUUACUUAACCAAACCAUUUUUCCCCCUAAGUCUAGGAGAUAAAAAAG
rnacentral:rRNA from 1 species